rnacentral:rRNA from 1 species
ACGAACGCUGGCGGCGUGCUUAACACAUGCAAGUCGAACGGAAAGGCCCUGCUUUUGUGGGGUGCUCGAGUGGCGAACGGGUGAGUAACACGUGAGUAACCUGCCCUUGACUUUGGGAUAACUUCAGGAAACUGGGGCUAAUACCGGAUAGGAGCUCCUGCUGCAUGGUGGGGGUUGGAAAGUUUCGGCGGUUGGGGAUGGACUCGCGGCUUAUCAGCUUGUUGGUGGGGUAGUGGCUUACCAAGGCUUUGACGGGUAGCCGGCCUGAGAGGGUGACCGGCCACAUUGGGACUGAGAUACGGCCCAGACUCCUACGGGAGGCAGCAGUGGGGAGUAUUGCACAAUGGGCGGAAGCCUGAUGCAGCAACGCCGCGUGCGGGAUGACGGCCUUCGGGUUGUAAACCGCUUUCGCCUGUGACGAAGCGUGAGUGACGGUAAUGGGUAAAGAAGCACCGGCUAACUACGUG